CAGAAAGCAGCAGAAGCAAGUGGACAGAGAGAGAAAGGUGGAAACAUGUCUCAGAAAGAAGAACAUCGUUUGUUAUCACACUGCUAAUAAUCAUAUAGAGUGUACCUGGUUCGGCACAGCUGUUUAUCACUCUCUUUGGUUUCACUUUUUCUGCAUCACACAGACCAAUCUGCAUCAAUGAAGAUCUGGAUUUUAAUGUUUUUUUGCGUCCUGUUAUCCAUGGCACUGUCAGUGUUAAUCCAGGUCCAACAACAAAUGAUAAUCACGAUGAACAAUAAGAACGAAACGUUUACAAUGACAUUCAAGAAACUUAAUAAACAACUUUCAAAUUUAGACACGGUAAAAGUUGAGUUGGUCAGGCUGACUGUUUUUGCGCAAGAAGAGACAAAGGAUCUUGAGGCUCAACCUGUUCCAGAUGUGGAUAAGCAGAAACAAGAACUUGACGCCUGUCGAGCUGAAAAGCAAAUUUAAAAUCAGAGUCUGAUGCCUGGGAGCAAGAGAUUCAAAGCCUGAAAUCACACAUUUCGGGGUACAGGCCAAUAUGUGAUCAUGUCAAGAAUGUCCCAUUGGCUGUGAAAUUAUGUGGCACCAAAAAUAAACCUGUCGAUAAAGGAGAGAAGGCAUCUUGGAUCUCCACAACGCCAGUAAUUCACAAUUGAUCCAAGAGUUAGGUUUAUGAUGAUAUUAGUGUCAUUCCUGUUACUGCUGUAUAAAAGGAUAAUAUGUUUUUCAGCUCAAAUGUAUAAAACUGCCAGUACAUGGAUAAUACUUCUUCCAGUUGCAGAGUAUAAAGAAAGAAUAAUUGGAGUUUAUCAUUAUACUAAAUUGAUAGUGAAUUAUUAUGGCUCAUGUUACUGUUUGUAUAGUUCUUGCAAGUUCUUGUUGACAUAUACUUAUAUUAAAUUAUUAGACUUUU